AGGGAAAGGUGAAAAGCACCCCGGAAGGGGAGUGAAACAGUUCCUGAAACCGUGUGCCUACAAGUAGUUAGAGCCCGUUAAUGGGUGAUAGCGUGCCUUUUGUAGAAUGAACCGGCGAGUUACGAUUUGUUGCAAGGUUAAGCGGAAAAAGCGGAGCCGUAGCGAAAGCGAGUCUGAAUAGGGCGCAUAAGUAACAGGUCGUAGACCCGAAACCAGGUGAUCUACCCAUGUCCAGGAUGAAGGUAAGGUAAUACUUACUGGAGGUCCGAACCCACGCACGUUGAAAAGUGCGGGGAUGAGGUGUGGGUAGCGGAGAAAUUCCAAUCGAACUUGGAGAUAGCUGGUUCUCUCCGAAAUAGCUUUAGGGCUAGCCUCGAGGUAAAGAGUCAUGGAGGUAGAGCACUGUUUGGACUAGGGGCCCUUCUCGGGUUACCGAAUUCAGAUAAACUCCGAAUGCCAUGUACUUAUACUCGGGAGUCAGACUGCGAGUGAUAAGAUCCGUAGUCGAAAGGGAAACAGCCCAGACCACCAGUUAAGGUCCCCAAAUAUAUGUUAAGUGGAAAAGGAUGUGGGGUUGCUUAGACAACCAGGAUGUUGGCUUAGAAGCAGCCACCAUUGAAAGAGUGCGUAAUAGCUCACUGGUCGAGUGACCCCGCGCCGAAAAUGUACCGGGGCUAAACAUAUUACCGAAACUGUGGAUGAACCUCUUUAGAGGUUCGUGGUAGGAGAGCGUUCUAAGGGCGGUGAAGUCAGACCGGAAGGACUGGUGGAGCGCUUAGAAGUGAGAAUGCCGGUAUGAGUAGCGAAAGAAGGGUGAGAAUCCCUUCCACCGAAUAUCUAAGGUUUCCUGAGGAAGGCUCGUCCGCUCAGGGUUAGUCGGGACCUAAGCCGAGGCCGAUAGGCGUAGGCGAUGGACAACAGGUAGAGAUUCCUGUACCAGUGCUAAUUGUUUAACCGAUGGGGUGACACAGAAGGAUAGGGAAUCGCACGAAUGGAAAUGUGCGUCCAAGCAGUGAGUGUGAGAA
rnacentral:rRNA from 1 species